rnacentral:rRNA from 1 species
GCCUAUGGCCAUACCAGUCUGAAAGUGCCUGAUCUGUCAGAUCUCAGAAGCCAUCCAGACUCGGGCCUGGUUAGUACUUGUAUGGGAGACCAACAAGGAACCUCAGGUGCAAAUCC